rnacentral:rRNA from 1 species
GACGUAGGGCGCGAGCGUUGUCCGGAUUUAUUGGGCGUAAAGAGCUCGUAGGCGGCUCAUUGCGUCAACCGUGAAAUCCUGCUGCUCAACGGCAGGUCUGCGGUUGAUACGGGUGGGCUGGAGUUCGGUAGGGGAGACUGGAAUUCUCGGUGUAGCAGUGAAAUGCGUAGAUAUCGAGAGGAACACCAGUGGCGAAGGCGAGUCCCUGGACAACACCUGACACUGAGGCACGAAAGCUAGGGGAGCAAACAGG